rnacentral:tRNA from 1 species
CGGGGCGUGGCGCAGAUGGCUAGCGUGCGCGGCUGGGGGCCGCGAGGUCGCAGGUUCAAGUCCUGUCGCCCCGA